GUAUAGUUAAGUGACUAAGCGUACAAGGUGGAUGCCUUGGCAAUCAGAGGCGAAGAAGGACGUGCUAAUCUGCGAAAAGCUUGGAUGAGUCGAUAAGAGGCGUUUAAUCCAAGAUAUCCGAAUGGGGAAACCCAGUAGAUGAAGAAUCUACUAUCAACAAGUGAAUUCAUAGCUUGUUGAGGCAAACCGGGAGAACUGAAACAUCUAAGUACCCCGAGGAAAAGAAAUCAACCGAGAUUUCGUCAGUAGCGGCGAGCGAAAGCGAAAGAGCCAGUAAGUGAUAGCAAUAUAGUGAGGAGAAUGUGUUGGGAAGCACAAUCAAAGAGGGUGAUAAUCCCGUAUCUAAAAACCAUAUUGUGGUACUAAGCUAACGAGAAGUAGGGCGGGACACGUGAUAUCCUGUUUGAAGAAGGGGGGCCCAUCCUCCAAGGCUAAAUACUCCUGAUUGACCGAUAGUGAACCAGUACUGUGAAGGAAAGGCGAAAAGAACCCCGGUGAGGGGAGUGAAAUAGAACCUGAAACCUUGUACGUACAAGCAGUGGGAGCGAGGGCAACCUUGUGACUGCGUACCUUUUGUAUAAUGGGUCAGCGACUUAUAUUUUGUAGCGAGGUUAACCGAAUAGGGGAGCCGAAGGGAAACCGAGUCUUAACUGGGCGAAUAGUUGCAAGGUAUAGACCCGAAACCCGGUGAUCUAGCCAUGGGCAGGUUGAAGGUUGGGUAACACUAACUGGAGGACCGAACCGACUAAUGUUGAAAAAUUAGCGGAUGACUUGUGGCUGGGGGUGAAAGGCCAAUCAAACCGGGAGAUAGCUGGUUCUCCCCGAAAUCUAUUUAGGUAGAGCCUUGAGGUGACACCUUUGGGGGUAGAGCACUGUUUCGGCUAGGGGGCCAUCCCGGCUUACCAACCCGAUGCAAACUACGAAUACCAAAGAGUGAUACUCAGGAGACACACGGCGGGUGCUAACGUCCGUCGUGGAGAGGGAAACAACCCAGACCGCCAGCUAAGGUCCCCAAGUCUAUAUUAAGUGGGAAACGAAGUGGGAAGGCUUAGACAGCUAGGAUGUUGGCUUAGAAGCAGCCAUCAUUUAAAGAAAGCGUAAUAGCUCACUAGUCGAGUCGGCCUGCGCGGAAGAUGUAACGGGGCUGAAAUAUAGCACCGAAGCUGCGGCAUCAGAAUUUAUUCUGUUGGGUAGGGGAGCGUUGUGUAAGCGGAAGAAGGUUCAUCGAGAGGUGGGCUGGACGUAUCACAAGUGCGAAUGCUGACAUAAGUAACGAUAAAACGGGUGAAAAACCCGUUCGCCGGAAGACCAAGGGUUCCUGUCCAACGUUAAUCGGGGCAGGGUGAGUCGGCUCCUAAGGCGAGGCUGAAAAGCGUAGUCGAUGGGAAACAGGUUAAUAUUCCUGUACUUGGUAAAGCUGCGAUGUGGGGACGGAGUAGGUUAGGUUAUCGCACUGUUGGAUAUGUGCGUUUAAGUUGGUAGGUGGGAAGUUUAGGCAAAUCCGGACUUCCUUAACACAGAGAGAUGAUGACGAGGCUCUACGGAGCUGAAGUAACUGAUACCACACUUCCAGGAAAAGCCACUAAGCGAAAGGCUUUACUAAACCGUACUGAAAACCGACACAGGUGGUCAGGUAGAGAAUACUCAGGCGCUUGAGAGAACUCGGGUGAAGGAACUAGGCAAAAUAGCACCGUAACUUCGGGAGAAGGUGCGCCGGCGUAGAUUGUAAGGGCUAGCCCCUGAAGGUUGAACCGGUCGAAGAUACCAGCUGGCUGCAACUGUUUAUUAAAAACACAGCACUCUGCAAACACGAAAGUGGACGUAUAGGGUGUGAUGCCUGCCCGGUGCUGGAAGGUUAAUUGAUGGUGUCAUCGAAAGAGAAGCACCUGAUCGAAGCCCCAGUAAACGGCGGCCGUAACUAUAACGGUCCUAAGGUAGCGAAAUUCCUUGUCGGGUAAGUUCCGACCUGCACGAAUGGCAUAAUGAUGGCCAGGCUGUCUCCACCCGAGACUCAGUGAAAUUGAAAUCGCCGUGAAGAUGCGGUGUACCCGCGGCUAGACGGAAAGACCCCGUGAACCUUUACUAUAGCUUGACACUGAACAUUGAAUUUUGAUGUGUAGGAUAGGUGGGAGCCUUUGAAGCAGUGACGCCAGUCAUUGUGGAGGCGACCUUGAAAUACCACCCUUUAACGUUUGAUGUUCUAACGAAGAUGACGAAACGUGGUCUCGGACAGUGUCUGGUGGGUAGUUUGACUGGGGCGGUCUCCUCCCAAAGCGUAACGGAGGAGCACGAAGGUUUGCUAAUCACGGUCGGACAUCGUGAGGUUAGUGCAAUGGUAUAAGCAAGCUUAACUGCGAGACAGACAAGUCGAGCAGGUACGAAAGUAGGUCAUAGUGAUCCGGUGGUUCUGAAUGGAAGGGCCAUCGCUCAACGGAUAAAAGGUACUCCGGGGAUAACAGGCUGAUACCGCCCAAGAGUUCAUAUCGACGGCGGUGUUUGGCACCUCGAUGUCGGCUCAUCACAUCCUGGGGCUGAAGUAGGUCCCAAGGGUAUGGCUGUUCGCCAUUUAAAGUGGUACGCGAGCUGGGUUUAGAACGUCGUGAGACAGUUCGGUCCCUAUCUGCCGUGGGCGUAGGAUGAUUGAUUGGGGCUGCUCCUAGUACGAGAGGACCGGAGUGGACGCAUCACUGGUGUUCCGGUUGUGUCGCCAGACGCAUUGCCGGGUAGCUAAAUGCGGAAGAGAUAAGUGCUGAAAGCAUCUAAGCACGAAACUUGCCAAGAGAUGAGUCAUCCCUGACUUUAAGUCAGUAAGGGUUGUUGUAGACUACGACGUAGAUAGGUUGGGUGUGUAAGUGAUGUGAGUCAUUGAGCUAACCAAUACUAAUUGCCCGAGAGGC
rnacentral:rRNA from 1 species